rnacentral:lncRNA from 1 species
UCCUGGCUUAGGCUGGUCGGGGGAAAAGGCCGCGCUCGCAAGAUCUUCGGAGUUCCAAUCGUCUCGCGCUCACCUCAAUUUCGCCUUCUCGCUCCCCAAUUGCAUCCUCAGGGUGGCCAGUGCGGCAACCAGAUUGGUGCUAAGUUCUGGGAGGUCGUCUCCGACGAGCACGGCAUCGACCCCACCGGCACCUACCAUGGCGACUCCGACCUGCAGCUGGAGCGCAUCAACGUGUACUUCAACGAGGCCACCGGCGGUGAGUCAACUCAGUAUGGUCGCUGGCGUGUCACGCGGGGUCUUUUGCUCGGCAACAUUCCUUGAGUUGACCGCUGGUCAGCUGCGUGGGCUCGCCACGUUGUCCACAAGGCCGGUUGUGCGGCUAGCUUGGCUUCUUGUCCAAAACAGUCAGCUUCGUCGUGGCUGCUUAGCGCUAGCGCCUGUGGGGCCGCGCACAUGUGAACUUCACAGUCAGUAGUCAGAGUCAACCGCGUUGCGACACCCGAACUGUGCUAGUACGUGGUCCAGCGCUCGUGUGGAUGCCCGUCGCGUGCUAGUCAGCACCUUCUCUCUGUUCCGACACCACAUGCGCUGACAACAAUUCUGUCUUGCGCUUCAGGCCGCUACGUGCCCCGCGCCAUCCUGAUGGACCUGGAGCCCGGCACCAUGGAUUCCGUGCGCUCGGGCCCCUACGGCCAGAUUUUCCGCCCGGACAACUUCGUGUUCGGCCAGACCGGUGCCGGCAACAACUGGGCCAAGGGCCA